rnacentral:rRNA from 1 species
GAUUAACGCUAGCGGCAGGCCUAAUACAUGCAAGUCGAACGGUAACAGGUGUAGCAAUACAUGCUGACGAGUGGCGCACGGGUGAGUAACACGUAUGCAAUCUGCCUUUAACUGGGGAACAACCCCUCGAAAGAGGGGCUAAUACCGCAUAACAUCACAGAACGGCAUCGUUUUGUGAGCAAACCUACGGGGGUUAAAGAUGAGCAUGCAGCUGAUUAGAGUUGGCGGGGUAACGGCCCACCAAGACUACGAUCAGUAGGGGAUCUGAGAGGAUGAUCCCCCACACGGGUACUGAGACACGGACCCGACUCCUACGGGAGGCAGCAGUAAGGAAUAUUGGACAAUGGAGGCAACUCUGAUCCAGCCAUGCCGCGUGAAGGAUGAAUGCGCU